UGCUGUCGCUCUCUGCCUCUACACGCCCCCCUCCCAUCUUCCAUCCCAGUCCGCCUAUAGGUUCCGCGCAAAGGUAAAAGGGGGGAAAUAGGAGGCUUUAUAGACAUCCACAUUGCUCUCUCUGCCUUGCUGCCCGUUUCACUCCUUUCAGUCUUUUUGAGUUUUUCCAGCAGCGCGCCCAAAAUGCCAAGCAAGAGGAAGAAGAACAAGCGUCGCAUGAGGAGGGUGCAAGCCCAGAGGAGAGCACUUGAGGAUCAGCAUGCAGCCAAUCUACCAAUCAAAUCCAACUCAGGGAUUGCCAUUAGUGCGCCCCCUACAGCAACUCCCAAAAAAGCAGCUAAGAUUUCACCACCCACUCGAGAAAAGCCCCCACAGGUCAUUCCCAUUUCUGCCCCUGCAGUGGAACCUCCAAAAUUUGAACCGCAGCCUGUUGUGAAAGAAGAAGCAGCAGAGGCCUUCGUGGUUGAGGUAGCUGCAGCAGAUGAUGGUGUGCUGUUGGAGCAGGCUACUGUGGAGCUGGAAUCCAGAGUGGGGGAUGAAGUUGAAGGUCCAGCACGUGUCGCCAAAGAAGCAGCAGUUGAAAGUAUUCCUCCAGCAGAACCCUCUACGGUUGAAGCUGAUCUGGCGAAAGAGGCUGAGGUUUCUGUUUCUGAAACAGAGUCUGUCCCUGAGGUUACAACCCCAGAUGAGGCUCCAGUCGUGGUUGCUGUAGAAGCUGAAACAGAAGACAAUGAAGACACACAGACAGAGAUGGGUCAGACCCAGAAUGUCUGCGAGGCAGACUCUGAGAAAGAUGUGACCCUGGCAGAAGAAGACACUGAGACCAAGGAGGAACUAGAAGUGUCCAUCACUGAAGAAGUAACCAUAUUGGAGUCGGUUAAGGAACAAGCUGAAGAACCAGUGGUAGAAGAUCUUACCAGUGACCAAAGUCCUGCUGACGUAGAACAUGCUGCAGAAAAAACAGAAUCUGAUACUGGAUCAGAGGUGGAAGUUGUCAUAGAAACACUGGAGCCUGCAGAGCCACCUGAGGAUGGGGAGGAAAAACUGGAAGACUCAGCUGCACUCAGUGUCCAGUCUGUUGCAGCCAUAGAGGAUGCUCUUGGCCCACCUGUGGAAAUCCCAGCAGUAUUAAACACAAUCACUGAAGCUCCUCUGGAUGAAGCUGACCCUCCUGUUGUUGAACAUACAGAGGGAACUGCCGACCUGCUGCUCCAACAAUUAGCUGUUACUGAAUCUGUGACAACAGCGAAGGAUGUUUCAACAUCUGCUGUUGUGCAGGAGGAAGCUGAGGGAACAGGGGACACUUUUAUCACCCAAACAGAAGCUACUCCUGCAGAUCCUGAAACAGAAUCUGCUGCUCCUGCAGGGGAGAUUGUUGCUGCCAACCAAAAGUGUCUGGAUGUGUUGUCAGAAGAAGCGAAAUCCGGAGGCUGUGAUGUUCCAUGUCAGGGACAGCUUCCUGUUGAGGCUGUGCAGCUUAGUGGAGUAGAGCUUUCAGUGGAAAUAACACAUAAUGGAAACAUUGUUCCUGAGGUCUCCAUUGAGGGUUAAAGCCAAGGCACACAGCUCAGAGAACCUUUUUCUAUGUGUAAGACUCUAAAAAUUCCCGUUGGAGGACUCAAAGCUUUCCAGGGAGUCAACCAGACCUUUUCAUUUUUUAAGGCUUAAGGCAGAACAGGCAGGAAAUCGAAGUGGGCAUCCACACUUUGAAGUGCCUUUUCCUGUCCUGUACUCUGCUGAAACAUCAAACCAGAUGUGAACAUGCAGAAACGGCUUCUCUCACGACAGCAGCUGAGACCUAUGAAAAAAAGCAUCUUUGGUUCUUUUAAAUACUUUGCUAUGCAACAAAAUCACGUAUAAAUGAGUUUGACUAUAGUAGUUCAGGAGAAGGUGCUGAAGGCAUGACAAUCAGCAGCAGAAAUAUUUUUGCAUCUUCUGUCUCCCAGAAUAUCUUUCUCCACAGUGCAUAGACUUUAUGCAUAUCAGUAGACUUGUAGCAUUGAUAAUUGGGUCUGUAGUUUGUUUAUUGGACAGAGAUGUGUUGUUUUUUGCUGUUUUUUGAAUGUCACUUGUUUAGCUUACCACUCUCUUUUCAAAACAAACCUUCCAAUAAAAUUAAAACUGGGGUAACUUUAUUAAAAACAUAUUUUUUACAUAUUUGUCUCAUUCUAUACUGUCACAACAGUAUAGAAUGAGAGAGACAAUGUGUGAAAAAACACAGUAUUGUUUUAAGAUUUGUUCUUAACUUAAAACAUUACUAUAGUCAUGUUUCAUGACUGUACAUGGUGCUUUACCAAGGAUUUGGUGAAGCAUCACCUCCCACCUCAAUUUUUGCAGUUGUUUGCAGCAGGUUUUGUGUAAACAACUGCCAAAUGUGAACCAAGUCAAUGAUUUAAAGCAGAACUUCACCUUGGUGUAGGCCACUAUUGAACUAGCUGUUAGUUUUACCUGGGAGACUAAUUAAACAACUAAUUUGGGUUUACACUAAACAAAGAUGGCAAAAGAAUCGUCUUCUUUGGGCAAUUCAUUUCCUGCUCAUAUCCUUUAACAGAACCAUACUUCAAAAAUUCACAAAUUUAUUUCCUUUUCUGUCUACCAUUGUUCACUGUCUUGACGAAGUGCCACUGUUAAUGUUACAAAGCUACAUUGUAAAGAGCAAGCUUUGAUAUUGAACAGAACAUUGAAUAUCAAAAUGAAUUUCAUAAUUCAUUUUGUAUACACAGAGUAAUGCAUACACAAUUGUGUUAAAAUUGGUACAUUAUGAGUUAUUGUUGGGCUGUCUUGACCUGUGAAAUAAAAGUUAUAACUCAGUGA